AUGCUAGUGUGGAAUAUCUGGGGUCUCAACAAUCUGGCACGUCGAUGCACUAUCGCUCAACUGGUUUUGGCAGCCAACCCUGCCGUGGUUUGCUUACAGGAGACAAAAGUGGAGCUUGUAAUGCUAGAUCUUGUGAAACAUUGCCUUGGGAAUAAAUUUGAAAACUUCUACUACUUGACGGCCACCGUCACAUGUGGGGGCAUCUUGUUGGCUUGGGACGCCUCCAUGGUGGCUGUCUCCAACCCGCACUACAUUGACAACACAUUGACAGCCUUAGUUCAUCCUUGA
rnacentral:rRNA from 1 species